rnacentral:tRNA from 3 species
CGGGGCGUAGCUCAGUCUGGUAGAGUGCUUGCUUUGGGAGCAAGAUGUCGCAUGUUCGAAUCAUGUCGCCCCGACCA